ACGAACGCUGGCGGCAGGCCUAACACAUGCCAGUCGAGCGGACCUUUCGGGGUCAGCGGCGGACGGGUGAGUAACGCGUGGGAAUAUGCCCUUCUCUACGGAAUAGUCCUGGGAAACUGGGGGUAAUACCGUAUACGCCCUUUGGGGGAAAGAUUUAUCGGGGAAGGAUUAGCCCGCGUUGGAUUAGGUAGUUGGUGGGGUAAUGGCCUACCAAGCCGACGAUCCAUAGCUGGUUUGAGAGGAUGAUCAGCCACACUGGGACUGAGACACGGCCCAGACUCCUACGGGAGGCAGCAGUGGGGAAUCUUAGACAAUGGGGGCAACCCUGAUCUAGCCAUGCCGCGUGAGUGAUGAAGGCCUUAGGGUUGUAAAGCUCUUUCAGCUGGGAAGAUAAUGACGGUACCAGCAGAAGAAGCCCCGGCUAACUCCGUG
rnacentral:rRNA from 1 species